AUUUGCUGACUGCUUUGCAUGUGCCCCUCCAACCAAGCCCAGCCUCUUGCAGUUUAUAAGUCGGGCCUGGAUAGUGAGACCUGAGCAUCAUCAGACAGACAGGGGAGCAAUAUGGAGUCACACACCCAGGUCCUCAUGUCUCUUCUGCUCUGGAUAUCUGGUGCCUGUGCAGAUAUCGUGAUGACCCAGUCUCCAUCCUCUUUGGCUGUGUCACCAGGAGAGAAGGUCACCAUCAGCUGCAAGUCCAGUCAGAGUCUUUUAUCCAGUGGAAAUCAGAAGAACUACUUGGCCUGGUACCAGCAGAAAGCAGGGCAGUCUCCUAAACUGCUGAUCUACUGGGCAUCCACUCGGCACACUGGGGUCCCUGAUCGCUUCAUAGGCAGUGGGUCUGGGACAGAUUUCACUCUCAGCAUCAGCAGUGUCCAGGCUGAAGACAUGGGAGAUUACUUCUGUCAGCAAUAUUAUAGUAAUCCUCCCACAGUGCUUCAGCCACUAUCAAAAACCUCCCCUGAGAGUCUCAGCGGUUACUUGUACCACACACAGCCCUGGGCCUGCACACUUCCUUCUUCUGCCUGAGAGUAUGGACUCUCA